rnacentral:tRNA from 2 species
CGGGGUGUAGCGCAGUCCGGUUAGCGCGUUACGUUCGGGACGUAAAAGUCGGAAGUUCAAAUCUUCUCACCCCGA